rnacentral:rRNA from 1 species
AGUCGAGGGGUAUUAGGAGCUUGCUCCUAAGAGACCGGCGCACGGGUGCGUAACGCGUAUGCAAUCUACCUUAUACAGGGGAAUAGCCCAGAGAAAUUUGGAUUAAUGCCCCAUGGUAUUAUAGAGUGGCAUCACUUUAUAAUUAAAGUUCCAACGGUAUAAGAUGAGCAUGCGUCCCAUUAGUUAGUUGGUAAGGUAACGGCUUACCAAGACAAUGAUGGGUAGGGGUCCUGAGAGGGAGAUCCCCCACACUGGUACUGAGACACGGACCAGACUCCUACGGGAGGCAGCAGUGAGGAAUAUUGGACAAUGGGCGCAAGCCUGAUCCAGCCAUGCCGCGUGCAGGAAGACGGUCCUAUGGAUUGUAAACUGCUUUUAUACAGGAAGAAACAACUCUACGUGUAGAGUCUUGACGGUACUGUAGGAAUAAGGAUCGGCUAACUCCGUGCCAGCAGCCGCGGUAAUACGGAGGAUCCAAGCGUUAUCCGGAAUCAUUGGGUUUAAAGAGUCCGUAGGCGGUCUUAUAAGUCAGUGGUGAAAUCUCCUAGCUCAACUAGGAAACUGCCAUUGAUACUGUAAGACUUGAAUUUUUGUGAAGUAACUAGAAUAUGUAGUGUAGCGGUGAAAUGCUUAGAUAUUACAUGGAAUACCAAUUGCGAAGGCAGGUUACUAACAAACGAUUGACGCUGAUGGACGAAAGCGUGNGGAGCGAACAGGAUUAGAUACCCUGGUAGUCCACGCCGUANACGAUGGAUACUAGCUGUUCGGAGCAAUCUGAGUGGCUAAGCGAAAGUGAUAAGUAUCCCACCUGGGGAGUACGCACGCAAGUGUGA